rnacentral:misc_RNA from 1 species
UCUGCAAAUAAAGCUUUAGAGAGCAACAUUUAUUCCAAAAACCGCUACCUUUUCCUUUGUACCAAGAUGUCAGCUGAAAACGGCGGAAACGCGAUUGUUCGUGUGAGCUCGAACAAGCGCAAGUUCGGUUACGUUGACUACACGAAGCACCGUCUUCAUGAAGGCUACCCGGAGGUCGUCAUCUCCGCUCUCGGUACUGCAAUUGCCGACGCUGUCUCUGUUGUGGAGCUGCUCAAGAACCAGGGUGUCGUGGAGGUGAAGAAGAUUUGCACUUCACGCGCGCAGUUCGACGAUGUUCGCUCCACCACUACCGACAAGAUUGAGGUUGUUGUUGUCAAAUCUCCUGAUUUUGACGCUAUCUAUGAUCAGCAGCAGAAGGAUCGCGAAAUCGCAAAGGCCCGCGCGGAAGCGGAUGAGGCCGAUGAUGAGUAGCUCAGCUGCCUGGGUGGCGCGAAUCACAAAGAAAACCCAAAUUUGAAAGUCGCAACAAAUAUACACGGUCUCGCUAUCUUGUCCUCUAUUAAAGCGAAAAAAAAAUGACCAUCACUUUUUUUUGAUGACUGAAAAAACAAACAAAAAAGGAUUUAGGCAAUGAAAAAGUGUUGCUGUGCUGCGUAGGUAAAAUUCAAACAAAAAUGUCGAAAUGAAAAAAAAAAUGCAUGAAUCCUCUCCAGUGGUGAUUUGAUAUACCGCAGCUCGUGUGCUAGACGAGCCGACUAGGGUCGCGACGUGUUAGUUGAGAAAAAAAAAGGCACGAGAAAACGCUCAAUUUUUCAUAUCAAAGCACGGACUCAUUUUUUUCCUUUCGAAAAAUAUUGUAGCGGUGCGGCAGCUUUUUUUUUUGGAGCUGCCCGCAAAACGACCAUGAAAAAUAGAGUCCGAAUACUGUGCCCC